rnacentral:rRNA from 1 species
AGAGUUUGAUCCUGGCUCAGAUUGAACGCUGGCGGCAUGGCUAAAACAUGCAAGUCGAACGAUUAAAGCUUCUUCGGAAGUGCAUAAAGUGGCGUAAGGGCGAGGAAUAUAUUUCUAUGUACCCCUAAGUCAAGGAUAGCCCAGGGAAACUUGGAGUAAUACUUGAUGUGGUCUCCGGAUCAAAGAUUUAUCGCUUAGGGAGCAGGGAAUAUCCUAUCAGGUUGUUGGUGAGGUAACGGCUCACCAAGCCAAAGACGGGUAGCGGGUGUGAGAGCAUGACCCGCCGCAUCGGAACUGAGACACUGUCCGGACUCCUACGGGAGGCUGCAGUAACGAAUAUUCCGCAAUGAGCGAAAGCUUGACGGAGCAAUGCCGCGUGUAGGAUGAAUCUCUUCGGAGUGUAAACUACUGUCAGAGACUAGGAACUCAAUGACCAAUCUCAAAGGAAGGGCCGGCUAACUUCGUGCCAGCAGCCGCGGUAAUACGAAGGGCCCGAGCGUUAUUCGGAAUCACUGGGCUUAAAGCGUACGUAGGCUGGUAUAUAGGCAUUUUGUGAAAUCCCUCGGCUCAACCGAGGAACUGCAGAGUGAACCAUAUACCUUGAGACAGACAGAGGUCGUCGGAACGAUUGGUGGAGUGGUGAAAUGCGUUGAUAUCAAUCGGAACGCCGAAGGAGAAGUCAGGCGACUGGGUCUGUUCUGACGCUGAGGUACGAAAGCGUGGGUAGCGAACGGGAUUAGAUACCCCGGUAGUCCACGCCGUAAACGAUGUGCACUAGGUCGAGGGCGUUCUGACGCGACUCUCGGCCGAAGCGAAAGUGUUAAGUGCACCGCCUGGGGAGUACGGUCGCAAGGCUAAAACUCAAAGGAAUUGACGGGGGCUCACACAAGCGGUGGAGCAUGUGGCUUAAUUCGAAGCAACGCGAAGAACCUUAUCCUAGGUUUGACAUACACGGAUUAGCUAUAAGAAACUAUAGUGACACCUUCGGGUGGAACGUGAACAGGUGCUGCAUGGCUGUCGUCAGCUCGUGCUGUGAAGUGUCGGGUUAAGUCCCUUAACGAGCG